rnacentral:rRNA from 1 species
UACGAAGGGGGGCUAGCGUUGCUCGGAAUGACUGGGCGUAAAGGGCGCGUAGGCGGAUGGCACAGUCAGAUGUGAAAUUCCCGGGCUUAACCUGGGGGGCUGCAUUUGAUACGUGUUGUCUUGAGUUCGGAAGAGGGUCGUGGAAUUCCCCAGUGUAGAGGUGAAAUUCGUAGAUAUUGGGAAGAACACCGGUGGCGAAGGCGGCGACCUGGUCCGACACUGACGCUGAGGCGCGAAAGCGUGGGGAGCAAACAGG